CAGAUCACUUUAGGGUGAAGAACAUUUUUCUUUGUUGUUCUUGUUGUAAAGAGAAAGACAAUCAGAAUGGGACUUGAAAUCUAGCUAUGGCAUAUAUUGCUGAAUCAGUAACUAACAAGGAAAAACUGAAAGAAACCACUAGUUGAAAAGAUAAGGAGUAACCGUAUUAACAGCAGUAUUGAGAAGCUGAGACAGAUUGGAAAAGGAAUUUCCAAAAACAGCAUCUCAGUUCUAAACUGGAUAAAGCUGAUAUUCUGGAAAUAGUUGUGAGUUUUCUAAAACAUCAAAUGCAGAUCAAAGUGAGAAUAUCAUUAGAAAAAAGUUCCCAGCAAGACUUCAAGGAAGAUUAUUCCAGGUGUUUGCAAAAGACACUCAGCUUCAUCUUUCAUCAUGAAAUUAGAAGGGAAAUUCAGACAUAAAUGCAGGAUCAUUUCCAACAAGCAGUAGGUGUUAGUGAGGACAUCACCCCCCUACAUCCCCUGAGACAUCAUCUCCAUGUCAGUGUUUCUCCCGUUCAACCACCCUGUACACUAUCAGACCAGUUUGGAGAUCCUGGCUAACAUAGAAAAUUCUGGGAUGUGCUUGUCAGUCCCCAAAUCAUUGGAAGAUGUGCAUCUGUGAAGGUUUUGUCUGCCCCUUUCAGUAGAAAAUAUGGAAUUCUCUGAAUAUUUUAUUCAGAAUGUGGCUGUUUUUUUCUUUAUUCCUUCACAAUGAAUGUUGUUUGCCCAUAAUCACCCAAGUGGUAUAUGUGUUAAAGUUGGGGCAUUUAUUAUUAUUAUUAUUAUUAGUAUGAUUAUUAUUAUUAUUAUGGUAAUGUAUACAGUGUAUAUAUAUUGAAAAUGUACCUUCCGCAAUGAAGAUUUCCAUUAUUGCUAUUACAUGUUAACAAUGUAGUUACUUCUGUAACUGACAAACAAAUGUAGGAGUAUUACUCUGAGAUACUUAGUGAAAAAUAUUGUUUAAAUGUGUUAAGUAUCUGCAGAUUUUAUGCAGAACGAUUUUCUUAAAAAGACCUCUGUUCAUGUUGUAUUCUAGUUAUGAAUCCAAUACAAAUUCAACAGAUUCAGCUGUGAGUUUAUAAUUAAAUGUGUAUCCUUCAUACUGAAGGGCUGUUCCAGUAAGUUAUGUUUUAAUCGAUAUUACACUUCAAUUUUGUAACAUAUAACUCCAACUAUUUGCAUUCAGGUUGAAACAUUCUUUCGCUGACUUCAACUUUUAUAAAGUUGUGCAGCUAUAAUCUGGUGAUAGCUAUUUAUUUGCAUUUGCAAAUAUUCAUAAUAUAUUGCAUUAUUUUGCACUACAAGGAACAUACAGUAGUAUGUACUAGAGAAAAUUAAUAUUCUUGUAUAAGAGUAUGCAGUUCUCUGUCACUGCACACAACAAUAAACAUCACCAUGUUUGCCUUACUAUGUUUUUUUCAAUGUACAACUUUACAGUUAACAGUCAUUGAGACUGUGAAUAUUUUGUACUGAUUCCAGAAAUGUUGUGAUGUUAAUUCUUAAUGCAUCUAUACAACAUAUUCUGUUACAUUUGUGAACUAGAAUGCCUGUCAUGUUUCCUUUACGGAUGUCUUUUUAAAAAUAAACAACUUCUUGAAGAACA